UACGUAAGGCGCAAGCGUUGUCCGGAAUUAUUGGGCGUAAAGAGCUCGUAGGCGGUUUGUCGCGUCUGCUGUGAAAACCUAAGGCUCAACCUUGGGCUUGCAGUGGGUACGGGCAGACUAGAGUGCGGUAGGGGUGACUGGAAUUCCUGGUGUAGCGGUGAAAUGCGCAGAUAUCAGGAGGAACACCGGUGGCGAAGGCGGGGUCUCUGG
rnacentral:rRNA from 1 species